GACGAACGCUGGCGGCGUGCUUAACACAUGCAAGUCGAACGGAAAGGCCCUGCCUUUGUGGGGUGCUCGAGUGGCGAACGGGUGAGUAACACGUGAGUAACCUGCCCUUGACUUUGGGAUAACUUCAGGAAACUGGGGCUAAUACCGGAUAGGAGCUCCUGCUGCAUGGUGGGGGUUGGAAAGUUUCGGCGGUUGGGGAUGGACUCGCGGCUUAUCAGCUUGUUGGUGGGGUAGUGGCUUACCAAGGCUUUGACGGGUAGCCGGCCUGAGAGGGUGACCGGCCACAUUGGGACUGAGAUACGGCCCAGACUCCUACGGGAGGCAGCGGUGGAGAAUAUUACACAAUGGGCGGAAGCCUGAUGCAGCAACGCCGCGUGCGGGAUGACGGCCUUCGGGUUGUAAACCGCUUUCGCCUGUGACGAAGCGUGAGUGACGGUAAUGGGUAAAGAAGCACCGGCUAACUACGUG
rnacentral:rRNA from 1 species